AACCUAGCACACCUGCGGUGUGUACCUGCGGAGGGAUCAUUACCUAGAGUUGUAGGCUUUGCCUGCUAUCUCUUACCCAUGUCUUUUGAGUACCUUACGUUUCCUCGGUGGGCUCGCCCACCGAUUGGACAAAUUUAAACCCUUUGCAGUUGAAAUCAGCGUCUGAAAAAACUUAAUAGUUACAACUUUUAACAAUGGAUCU
rnacentral:misc_RNA from 1 species